CUUUUGUUUAACGAGGCGGGAGCAGACUACUAGUGCAACAAGAGGCCUUGGCUUAACAUGUACUAAUGUGAGCUCUCAAAGGUCACUAGUGAAAGGAUUGCCAGGUUAGCUGUUCUCAUUGAAUUUCUCAUUAGUGUAUUCCAGAUAUCACUCAACACGAUAGGACAAUUAAUCCAAGCGAGCUACUCAAAACCUUAGCUACAAAACUGAUUCAAAACCGCACUGCGGGGCUCGUGAUGAACCAUUGGUGGGCUGUGUCUGCAGAAAGUUAGCCCUGUUUGGACAACUAAACAGGCGACUGCGUAGCAGGGUUCCAUGAUAAGAUCCCCAGGCUGAUCUCGCAAAACGCACGAAAAAGAUCACGCCUCUAUAUUAAAUUGAGCAGUACUGAUUUUUGUUAGUUUGUGCCGAACUCUAGGGAGGGCUGUAGUUGUCAUCUUUGGCUACAGUGCUGAUCCGUCACGGUGUAUAUCCAUCUGCCGGUGAAUGCAACGUUCAUUUUAGUUACGAAAGAUCUUUGUGAUAUUUAGUAGCCCGCUAUGAUGCUUGUGGUCUUCUGUUGUGCGUUGAGACAUAAAGUAAAAAAUUAACAUUGGAAUCAUUACAAAACAAUCAUUAUAUGGUUGCCUUGCGAAGGUACAUAGUUAUUAGGGUGGGCGUUGUCCGCAGAGAGAUAGAGAGUUGUGUGAUGUACGGUUCGAAAGAACUGCUCUUAAUAAUGGUAAAAACUAACUACAGACUUGGGUAGGUCUUACUUUACCUAUGGCCUUAACCUAUUUUAUUUAGAGCUAUGAUGGUCGAUGGAAUAGAGCUGUGCAACGUAUUUAUGAUGAUGUGAGAUGCUACUCUAGAUAUACUACUGUGCUUCCUGGCCUUUGCUCCUCGCGCUUUUCUACUUGGGGCGGUGUGCUACCCCUCGGCUAAGUAAUGCUAACCCGUUUGCUUUAAUGAAUAAUUGCGGAUGAAAGCUUCAGUCAAUACCUGUUAUUAUAAUAAAUGGUAAGUAAAAAACACUGCUAGCAUGAAUCUAAGUGCAUGCGAAAUCCGAACUGGUAGAAUACAUAGUGCUGUGAUCACUUUGUGUGCGAAGUUAAAUAAAGUCUGCUUCCAGUAA